AGCAGCCGCGGUAAUUCCAGCUCCAAUAGCGUAUAUUAAAGUUGUUGCAGUUAAAAAGCUCGUAGUUGGAUUUCGGGAUUAGUACGCUGGUCGUGCCUUCGGUACGUACUGGUGUUACUGAUUCCUACCUUCUGACGAACCAUCAUGUCAUUAAUUUGGUGUGGUGGGGAAUCAGGACUGUUACUUUAGAAAAAAUUAGAGUGUUUAAAGCAGGCUCGCGCUUGAAUACAUUAGCAUGGAAUAAUGAAAUAGGACGUUGAUCCUAUUUUGUUGGUUUCUAGGAUUGACGUAAUGAUUAAUAGGGAUAGUUGGGGGCAUUAGUAUUCAAUUGUCAGAGGUGAAAUUCUUGGAUUUAUUGAAGACUAACUACUGCGAAAGCAUUUGCCAAGGAUGUUUUCAUUAAUCAAGAACGAAAGUUAGGGGAUCGAAGACGAUCAGAUACCGUCGUAGUCUUAACCAUAAACUAUGCCGACUAGGGAUCGGAUGAUGUUAUUUUUAAUGACUCAUUCGGCGCCUUACG
rnacentral:rRNA from 1 species